ACUCGAUMAGCUCACGCUAUCUAUCGGAUCGUUUUAGAAACAUUCAGGGGCCAACAGUUUCAGGAUUGUYSAGYUCCAUUGGCGGGAUUUCGCCGUCUUCGUUUCUCUUUCUUCGCGGACRAACACGCGCCAGGGGCUGAGCGCUGUGCGGUGCACCGACUAAACGUCGCGUGCGCGCCGGCAUGUCUCUCGUGUUAGGGGCUUGUAGCUCAGUUGGUUAGAGCGCGCGCUUGAUAAGCGUGAGGUCGGAAGUUCAAGUCUUCCCAGGCCCACCAUUUUGAUCGAGUGCGGAGCAUUCGUCUUCUGGUACGGGGCCAUAGCUCAGCUGGGAGAGCGCGUGCUUUGCAAGCAUGAGGUCGUCGGUUCGAUCCCGUCUGGCUCCACCAGAUGGUUUGAUCACCAACGGCGUUACCGUCGUCCGCGAAACAUCACUUCGCACUCAUUGGUCCGGAUGGACGGUGACGUGCGUGUUUUCUGACAUCGUAAAGAGGAGAUCGAUCCGAGUUUGGAUCAAGCGAAGCAAUUCGCCUGAACCAUUCAUUAUCUCCGGGAUCAUUUCGGCGCUCGCUUUCAAUCGUGAGAUUGGAUGCGGGUUGUAAAUGAUCCCUUUUAGCRAAGCUUGACCGCCUCGCUAUCGGGCCGAUCUUUACRAAGCAAGCUGGUCUUUCUAGUCAAUGUCCGGCUGCGCGAUCGCAUUUCAUCRAGGAUGCGCGCCUUCAGUGGCAAUUUGUGCASAACAACAUUUCUGCCGAGUGUGUGGGACWUUGAUAAWGAGAGGAAUCAAGWGCCYUAAGGGUGUUCGGGUGGAWGGCUUGGCGCUGGAGARGCSAAGAARGKCSUGAUACCYUCCGAUAAAAYMGGGGGGAGCGGCGGSAAG
rnacentral:tRNA from 1 species